UUAGCUUUAGUACCCAUAAACCUUGUCUACAAAUUCAAAUUCGCUCAACGAGCUAUGGAGAAGACUAUGUUAGGAGUUAGCUUGAGGGAUAAGAUCCGAAAUUAGGAAAUCCGCAGGAAAACCAAGGUCACUGACAUAGCCCAAACUAU